UGCAGGGAGGAAAGGGAGAGCGAAACCACCAAAAAUUAAAAACCUUUCUCUACUUUACUCUGGAGCUCUAUUUUUUUCUCUUCUAGUUUAGUGAGAUCCACGACUCUAUUUCUGAACAGACCAGAUCUUUAGUAUUUGAAUGAAUCACGACUCCACUACAAAUGUUCCUGCCUCUCCAUUUCCUCAUCUGUAGACGCGAAGCUGCGUAGAUUAAGAGAACGGCUGAGAACGGCUGAAGAGCACUUUCAAUAGCAGCUGACACACGGGAAGCACUUAACAAACACCAGCCAGUGGCAUUAAACAGAGUACAUGUUUACUUAAAUUUUACUUCCUCAAUGGCUAUUAUUUUUGAUUUUUGCAAGGCAAAAAGCAAGGAUCUCCCUGAUGCGCUCUGUGAAAGGCUGGAAUUUGAGCCAGACUUUGCCAAUGUAUUUAAUGGUACUUAACUUUCAGAACAGCUUCAGGCAAACUUUUUCAAAUGUUCUUUAUGUAGAAGUAGCUGAUCCAAAUAUGAGGUAGCACUCUUCCUGCCUGGCAUCAAUUAUUACUCUUAAUAAUAGGAGAUGGAAGGCAGUAUACGAUAUAUAUUUAUACACACACAGUGUUAUGUAUAUGUUAAAUGUGGUGAACUGACUUUUCAGGUUUGCUGUGGGGAUAAUCAAAAUGGUCAGACUCUACUUGGAAGUACAAAACCAACUUAAUCUCUUUUAUCCCAUUCCUCUACAAAAUUAAAGAUUUUGUAUAUAAAGAAGCAA
rnacentral:lncRNA from 1 species